rnacentral:rRNA from 1 species
UACGUAGGGGGCAAGCGUUGUCCGGAGUUAUUGGGCGUAAAGCGCGCGCAGGCGGUCUGCCAAGUUCGGAGUGACAGUUUCCGGCUUAACCGUAAAAGGUCUUCGAAAACUGGUGGACUUGAGGACUUGAGAGGGAGACGGAAUUCCGGGUGGAGCGGUGAAAUGCGUAGAGAUCCGGAGGAACACCGAAAGCGAAGGCAGUCUCCUGGCAAGUUUCUGACGCUCAGGUGCGAAAGCUAGGGGAGCGAACAGG